rnacentral:rRNA from 1 species
AUGAACGCUGGCGGGCGUGCUUAACACAUGCAAGUCGUGCGCGAAGGUGGCUUCGGCCACCGGAGAGAGCGGCGAACGGGUGAAGGUAACACGUGGGGUAAUCUGCCUGGGAGCGGGGGAUAACCUGGGGGAAACUCGGGGCUAAUACCGCAUACGUAUUCCUGUCGCAGGGACAGGGUUAGAAAAGCUGGCCUCUGCUUGCAAGCUAGCGCUCCUAGAGGAGCCCGCGGCUGAAUUAGCUAGUUGGUGGGGUAAAGGCUCACCAAGGCGACGAUCAGUAGCCGGCCUGAGAGGGUGAUCGGCCACACUGGGACUGAGACACGGCCCAGACUCCUACGGGCAGGCAGCAGUGGGGAAUAUUGGACAAUGGGCGCAAGGCCUGAUCCAACAACGCCGCGUGGAGGACGAAGGUCUUCGGAUUGUAAACUCCUGUCAGGGUGGGACGAAGGUCUGGGGGCAAACAGCUUUCAGGCUUGACGGUACCACCAGAGGAAGCCCCGGCUAACUCCGUGCCAGCCAGCCGCAGUAAUACGGAGGGGGGCCUAGCGUUAUUCGGAAUCAUUGGGCGUAAAGGGGCGCGUAGGCCGGCGCGGUAAGUCAAAGGGUGAAAUCCCUCGGCUCAACUGAGGAACUGCCUUUGAAAACUGCCGUGCUUGAGUCCGGGAGGGGGGUAGCGGAAAUUCCCAGUGUAGCGGUGAAAUGCGUAGAUAUUGGGAGGAACACCAGUGGCGAAGGCGGCUACCUGGACCGGUAACUGACGCUGAUGCGCGAAAGCGUGGGGAGCAAACAGGGAUUAGAUACCCUGGUAGUCCACGCUGGUAAACGAUGGGUGCUCGGUUCUGUUUGUCGCGGGGUUAUCGACCCCUGCGGUGCCCUUAGCUAAACGCGUUAAGCCACCCCGCCUGGGGAGUACGGUCGCAAGGCUUGAAACUCAAAGGAAUUGACGGGGGCCCGCAACAAGCGGUGGAGCAUGUGGUUUAAUUCGAUGCAACGCGAAGAAACCUUACCUGGGGCUUGAACUGUGGUGGACGGUUCUGGAAACAGGAUUAAUUCCCCUUCGGGGGCCCGCCAUAGAGGUGGCUGCAUGGCUUGUCGUCAGCUCGUGUCGUGAGAUGUUUGGUGUUAAGUCCCCGCAACGAGCGCAACCCCUAUCCCUAGUUUGCCAACGGGUCAAGCCGGGAACUCUAGGGAGACUGCCCCGGAAAUCGGGGAGGAAGGUGGGGACGACGUCAAGUCCUCAUGGCCUUUAUGUUCCAGGGCUUACACACGUGCUACAAUGGGCGGUACAAAGGGUUUGCGAUAGGCGCGAGCUGGAGCUAAUCCCAAAAAAACCGUCCUCAGUACGGAUUGCAGUCUGCAACUCGACUGCAUGAAGCUGGAAUCGCUAGUAAUCCCAGAUCAGCAUGCUGGGGUGAAUACGUUCCCGGGCCCUUGUACACACCGCCCCGUCACAUCACGAAAGUUGUUUGUACCGGAAAGCCGGUGCGCUAACCUUCGGGAGGGCAGCCGUCCAUGGUAUGAACAGCGAUUUGGGGUG